AGAGGAAGGCGAGCAGGGAGCGGUUGGAGACCCGCAUCGCCCGCCGCAGCACCGACAUCCUCCUCGCGGCCGGCGGCCCGGGCUGCGCUCCGCGGGCCCUAAACUUCCAUGGAUCCCUCUCUGCCAACAGUAACCAGUGAUGCUGGUCUCUUCCUGUUUAAAAACCCGUCUCUACUGCCCCACCCAGGACGCCUGCGUCUCCAGCAGCCUGAAGGAUGCUUCGGGGUCUCCGCUCACUUGUAAACAAAGGGAGAUGAAGCGCUCAGAGCCCAAGAAAGGCCGCCCAAACCUUUUCAAGGGCGUCAUCCGGCACUUUCUCCGGAGCCAGAAGAAAACAUCAAUGACAACAAAAACUGAAAAUGGAAAACCAGUCCUACAAGUUUUGCAGUAAACAUUAAGUCAGAAUAUCAAGUACAAAUAAUAAUACUUUUAUGAUGAAUUGCUAACCUGAAGAACCCAUAGGGCUUGGAGACGUAUGGGAAUGAUAGAACUGGGUAAGCAAAACCAAGAUCCUUUUAGAAAAAUGGUCUUUUUGCAUCAAAAAGAGGCCUGCGCCCUGGGAAUGCCCCCGCGUGCUUCCUCGCGGCUGAUGCUGCCGGGUGGACUUGUGCCAGCUGUGCGGGCAGAGGUCGUCCAGCCGGGGAGGUGAGUGGGGUGCAGCCCGCCAGUGCUCACCUCUGCCCUCGAAGCUGCCCUGGUGCGGGGCAAUUCAGAGGAGAACCCCAACUGCCUUGGAGAUGCGAUGCCUCUUUCUUUCUUUUUUUAAAAUAUAUUCUUAUUGAUCUCAGAGAGGAAGGGGGAUGGAGAGAGAUAGAAACAUCAAUGAUGAGAGAGAAUCACUGAUCAGCUGCACACCCCACACUGGCAUCGAGCCCUCAACCCAGGCAUGUGCCCUGACCGGGAAUCGAAUGUGACCUCCUGGUUCAUAGAUCGACACUCAACCACUGAGCCACACCAGCUGGCCGCAGUGCCUCUUUUUUACACAAAGCAUCCACCCAGUCCCAAAGUGGUAUCUUAAAAAUUCUUACAAAAAUGUGGUCCUGAUGGUUCCUUGUGUCUGUUCUCUUGCCCUUGGCCCUGUUGUCUCAGCUCUUCCCUAAGACUGGAAUCCAGAAAAAAUUCCCAAACAUCCAGCCUCUCUUAAGUCUAGUAAGGUUACUUAAGAUUGGGGGUCGCACUGAGGAAAGAUAAUAUCCCAUCCCACACAAUGUCACAUCAUGUUCAGUUCUUCCCUCAUGUCCCCUCUCUUUCCCCAAAUUCCAAAAUCAUUAUACGUACAUGACUCUACUACUGAUGGGAGCCAUCCCCCAAGCCCUGCCUGUGUACCAGGUUCUGGAGAAUAAAGUUUCUCCAUCUCUCUUCACUCCUUUAGGUCUCUGAGCCUUUGACCGUGGAAUGACUCUCUCCCCUUGCCCACCUGGUAAACUCUUAUUAUUCAUUUUUCAAGCCCUAUUUCAAAAUGAAAGAAAUAGGAUUAA